rnacentral:lncRNA from 1 species
AUAAUUUUCAAAAUAUGAAAAAGAAUAAUCCUGCUACAGCCAGACACAAAUUGUUGGUCGGUAUAUACACAAACUUAUAUUUCGGUUCGUAUCUGUUUUCUAUAUGUAUAUAUAUGCGUAUAUUCUUAUUCGUAUUUCUGUCUCUAUGUUUUGAGUAAAAUGAUUAUAAAGUUCUGUGCAUUCGAUUAAGAUAGAAAAAACUAGGUGAAAAUUUUCAAUAAUAUAUUUAUUACCAUAGCGAGUCAAAUCAGCAGUAAUAUACAGCACGUGCGAAAUAGCAAAGCAUUGCAAAGCAUAUAUAGAAUAUAGUCAUAUAACAAAGCCUUA